AUUGAACGCUGGCGGCAGGCCUAACACAUGCAAGUCGAACGAGUGGCGGACGGGUGAGUAAUGUCUGGGAAACUGCCUGAUGGAGGGGGAUAACUACUGGAAACGGUAGCUAAUACCGCAUACCAUCGGAUGUGCCCAGAUGGGAUUAGCUAGUAGGUGGGGUGAGUGCUCACCUAGGAUAAGAUCCCUAGCUGGUCUGAGAGGAUGACCAGCCACACGGGAACUGAGACACAGUCCAGACUCCUACGGGAGGCAGCAGUGGGGAAUGUUGCACAAUGGGCGCAAGCCUGAUGCAGCCAUGCCGCGUGUAUGAAGAAGGCCUUCGGGUUGUAAAGUACUUUCAGCGGGGAGGCGUUACCCGCAGAAGAAGCACCGGCUAACUCCGUGCCAGCCGCCGCGGUAAUUC
rnacentral:rRNA from 1 species